UUUCUUGCAUCACUGCCAUCUCCCUCCAGGAGGACAAGCCGUUGAAAGGACUCCAGCAAAAGUUGUCACAAGUGUUGUGCUGUUUCUCUGCUCUCUUGUUACUAGUGCUACCCAGUGGACUUCGGCCACUUGGGCUAGCAUUGGCAUGGCCAGGUGAGUGGGAGUCCUGCAAGGCCGUUGCAAUAGAGGAAGCAUUUAAGCCUGGCAGCAACACUUGGGGUUUCAAAGAAAUCUGGCUGUGUGCAGAGGCAGCCGCCAUCUUCCUCCUGCCUGCUCCAGCCUGUCACAGGCAAACACGCACUGAUCUCUCCUGGAGACCUUGCACUUUCUUUCCUUCUUUCUAUUUUAUUUUAUUUUUUUUUUAAUUUUUAAUUUCCUCCUCUCUUCUUUCUUGCUGCUGUUUUCCCUUAAUCUAAAAGAAGUCAUUUUGAAUGAAAGUAGAUGAUCCGGUCCUUGUGUAUGGAAAAACUUCAAUUACUGGCACAGAGCAACAGUCUUUGUGCCAGAAGAAUGUUUUGUCACCUCCUCAUUGCCGUGGCACCAUUUCUGCAGUGCCCAGCUGUGGCUGUACAGCAUACACCAGCCAACCUUUCAAGUGACGUAUUUCUGCACUCCAUCCUGGAUUCAGCAGCAUCAUUUCUUGGGUUCCUUUUCUGCACAUCUUCAGGUUAACCUUUCUAGCUUUAAUUAAAAAAAAUGAUGUCAACAAGAAUCAUGUUGUAGGUUUUCCCGGUGCUGAUUGUAACCUUUAUUGUCGGUUAAUUGAUAAAAGUGCUAAAAGUCUGUUUCAGAAUUUCUAUUUCAUAAAAAUGUCUCCUUUGUUGAAGUAUCAAUUAACAGUCUUGAUUCAAAUUUUAUUUCUCUUGCAUGCAGCCAUUUAUUCUUUAAUAAUUGUCUAGAUUCUGACAUUAAAUACUGUAAUUUCUCCUGCUAUGUUUAAAACCACUUCGAAAGGCUUCUAAGUUUUAUUUCCUUCCCAUUUUCUACAGAGAUAGGCAGAGUUAGUUCAUGCUUAGGAAAGUUAAUAAAGUUAUGGAGUAGACUGUGAAAUUCA
rnacentral:lncRNA from 1 species